GACGAACGCUGGCGGCGUGCUUAACACAUGCAAGUCGAACGGAGUGGCGAACGGGUGAGUAACACGUGGGGGACCACCCCUGCACUUCGGGAUAAGCCUGGGAAAAUGGGUCUAAUACCGGAGAGUGUGGGAUGGGCCCGCGGCCUAUGAGCUUGUUGGGGGGGUAAUGGCCUACUAAGGCGGCGGGGGGUAGCCGGCCUGAGAGGGUGGACGGCCCCAUGGGGACUGCGAGACGGCCCAGAGGCCUACGGGAGGCAGCGGUGGGGAAUAUUGCAGAAUGGGGGGAAGCCUGAUGCAGCGACGCCGGGUGGGGAAUGACGGCCUUCGGGUUGUAAACUCCGUUCACCAUCGACGCGGUAGAUGGAGAGGAAGCACCGGCUAACUACGUGCCAGCAGCCGCGGUAAUUC
rnacentral:rRNA from 1 species